CUUGUGCACAGGAGAGGGAGCUCUCUGGUCUGAGUAGGAGCAGGAGCCGGGAACUCCUGAGGAUUCUGCUGGUGCUUCCUUUUGUAGGUUACUUCUCCUCCUGGGUCUGGUGCUCCGGCUGUGAAACUGAGAUAAUGCUCUGAAAACAAUUGGUGGCUACUGACGAUUUUAGGGCUGCUGCUGUGUCACACACAAGGGACAUUCAGAAUUCCUCCGACUGUAGGAAUGGAACUCAGUUUUUCCCGCUCCAUAAGCCAAGCCUAGCCCAGCUCAGCCCCCCUACUACUUGGGCUCUGUUAGCUUUCACAGGAAUGGGGCCUAUGAGAUGCUGUUGAUCGGUUAUGAUUCUCUCCAGCAGAGGGCAGUGGUUUGUAUAAACACUCGUUAUACUAUUUUCUCCAUUUUAAAGAUGGGGAAACUGAGGCAUGGGGUGAUCAUUGCCCAGUGAAUCAGUGGCAGAGCAGAUGUAGAACCCAGGAGGUGAGGCUCUCUCCUGAUUGUUUUAUUCUUGGGGGAUGAGGGGAGGAGUUAUCACCGGGGAAGAGGCAGGAGAAUGUGUAAGGGAUUCCCCUUUCACUCAGAUUUCCCAAGAAGCCUCUGAGUUGGGAGAGAGGGAGAAAUUUGCCAUGACCUUACUCCCUUUCCCUUAGGAUCCCCCCACAGAAGAAGUGACUACCCAGAGCUGCUGGGGCUCCGUUCUGUACAGCCAGAUUGAUAGGAUUUUCAUACAAAAAGAGCAUCCCACCCCCACCCUUGAAUAUAAUCAAGUUCACCCGUGUCAAAGCGGUUGCUGCUAUUGCCGGUUGUAAUUAAGAACAAAAUGCUCCCCGAGUAAAAAGAAAGAGAAAUCCCAGGUGUCCCUAAUACUCUGGAUUUCUGAUAGGUUUGUAUAAAGUUGGCUCCUUAAUCCGCAGGCAGCGGUACAACUGGAAUCCCCUCUGUUUCAUGGACUCCUACUGCUCCGCUCACUCUCACACAGACAUUGAACGGGAAGAUCGAUGAGCAGACAGUGCUAUGCACAUACGUCCUAACAUGCAGGCAAACCUUCUGCCCCCCACCCUUCCCCGAGAAAGAGAGAGUGGGAGGGCCUCAAGACCCAGAGCCCAGAUCUGGAUCAAAACUUUCCCAUAGUUUGAAGGACGUGGGGUUUUGGGCCCGUCUGUAAUAGAUGUGCACACAAACGUACGUUUGUAUAGGCGCGUGCACACGGACACGCACAACUGGUGCUAUUGCCUGAAAACAGGCAGGUGUAACUGACACACACAUGGGCAUGCUGAGACCCAGCAUUGGGCCGUACCUAUGUUUAGAGCUGUGCGUAUUACUGGUUUUUCGGUUUGCUUCAGUUCCAGUGUUUUGUUUGGGUUUUUGUUUUUUGUUUUUUUAAAAAUCAUUUUGGGCUGAACGAACCCCGUUGUUCGACCCAAACUGAAAUGGUUUGGUUUGGUUUUCAGCUUUUUUUAAAUGUUCUAAAUUUUUUAAAAGCAAGAUUGAAGGAAAUUUCAAAAUGAAAAGUUGUUUCCAGUUUAAAAAAAAUAGAAAUGUUUUAUUUAGAAAAUGUGGAAAUGAAACAUUUUGAUUUCUCUGGAAUUUAUUUUUAGUUUUUUUUUCUGACCAAAACAAUUUGUCAAAAUAGACAUGAAUUUCUGAAGUGUUUCAGUUGACCCAACUGCGUAUUUCUCUGAAAAAAUUUUUGGCUGAAAAGUUUUGCCCAGCUCUCCUCAGGACAGGGCAGACAAAGCCCUCCCCAAACCCCAUAAAAAUCACUGUCUACUCUGGCUGGGAUGUGAUCCUGUUAGUGAGCUGAAAAUGCAUUGAAGAUAUCCGUAACUCCCUUGCAUUCCAGUAUAGGCAGCUUCCUUCUCCCCAGAUUCAUUCACUCUAAGCAGGUGCCACACUAGUGCAAAUGCCUUUGCUCUUUUGCGCCUUCCAGUGAAGCCAUCAAAUGAUUCCCACCUGCUGUGAUUUGUGAAUGAAAGGGAGACCCCGUCUGGCCACAGGCUGCUCCAUUGCAAAACUAUCAUGUGUGAGCAAGAGGGACCUGUGUACAUGGGUAUUGCCCCUGGUCUGUCUCUCUCUCUUUUCUGAGCUGUCAGGAAGCAGAGCUGGAGAGAUGUGAUGGGUUUAGAUUAAAGGGAAAGGAAUGUCUGUUGGAGGCCACAGGAGCAGCUCCCUGCUACCUGGAAGGAGAUGCAAUGCUGGAGCUUCCCUAACCGCAGAAGAACAUUUCAUCCCUCUUUUGUUUAAAGGACAGUUAGUGCUGCAAAAGGUUAUGACCUUGUAGGCACCAGAGACUUUUCCAGUAAUCCACAGGACAGACAGCUGCCCCUGCCCUGCCUUGCCCAGGACCCUCAAGCUUGCCCUGGAGGGACAGAGAGCUCAGUUUCCUGGGUCUGUUCGCUUGUUGACUUGCUUGCUGAGAUUUCCAGGGAAGGUUGGCAUAGUACACUGGGCAGUGGGGCUAGAGCCCAAACUCAUCCAGAUGGGAAUGACUGAUGGUCACACACCAGCCCAGAUCUCAACCAGUGACCUACAAUUCUCCAGCUCAUUCUCAGGCCUGGGUGCAAUUGGGUCCCUGAAAGCAACACCCCACCCCUCCCCCCCUUAGACAGGGAGUGGACUCUUUCCCGAGGUGACUCAGAGGCUGUGGAUAUGCAGGGACAGGGAAAGUCCCUGUAAUGUGACUGUGAGAGUUUUCACACAAAGAUGCAAGGCUCGGUGUCCUUCACCGUUGAAACAUGACGAGGUUGAGCGGUGGAAGAACUCAUGGGAUUGCUGCAGAGCCGUUUGCCUCUAGGCUGGCAGCUUGAAUCCAAAUACCUUUGUGGAUCUGGGCCUUAGCCUCUCUGUGCCUCAGUUCUCCAUCUGUACAAUGGGGAUAAUAGCACUGCCCUGCCUCACAGGGGUGCUGGAAGAUUAAAUACACGCAAGGUUGUGAGGUGCUCAGAUACUGCAGGUAUGGGUGCCAUAAGACUACCAGUCCCUAUUUCUUUGCCUCCCUGAGUGAUUCCCCUGCGAGGAGCCUGUCUCUCAGGAAAUGAUUGCUGGUUCUGUCAGUUCAGUUCCCAUGAAGAAGAGCCAAAAAUUUCUCUCCCUUGCUUGGGAAGAUUCCGAAUCCGCUCUUGUCUACAGGCGAGAUUUACCUCCUUCUGUUGUGGGCUUAUAGCCUGAAACUCUGCAGUGCACAAUAAAACUAUGAGCAAAAAAGAUUAAAGAAUGAAAGGAUUAAAAUCUAAAGGUCUCAUGUGCCCUGUGCUCUGGAGAGUCUGUUCAGACUGAAGCCUCUCAGAGAGGCUGCCUGUGUAUCUCUGUAUUAGCACUGACAAAGAGAGGGUCUCUUAUUACUCAGGCUGAGCAGCUGUAUUCCUGGACGGGAAGGGCACCUGCCUGAAUCCCCCGUCUCAUGCAAUUCUUCAUCACAGGAAAGUCAGAGCGAAACAUCUGGCCGGCAGGGCAAGAUGUCAGGAUGUGUCUGGGGUGCAGUGAAGUGGCCAUUUCACAUGAAAGGAGCCCAUGCAAGCAGGUGAGUCCUUUGGAUUCUCACAGAAAUGGGGCUCUUGAUGCAGGGCUAACCACAGCAAUGUGUUUUGAGCGGGAUGGCCAGGUGGAUAAGGGACUAGGCCGGGACUUUGGACUUCAGUUUCUGACUCUGCUGCAGACACUCUGUGUGACCUUGGGCAAAUGACUUCAUCUCUGUGUGCCUCAGUUUCUCAUCUGUCAAAUGGUGAUCAUAAUGCUCCCUUUGCCUGUCUGCUUUGGUCAGAUUGUAAGCUCUUUGGGGCAUGGACUGUCUCGAUGUGUCUGUACAGCGCCUAGCACAAUGGGACCUCAGUUCUACUGUAACACAAAUAAAACUAGUACAAUAAUAAUAUCUUUGAAGGACUCCUGGCCGCAUCAGUUCAUGCAGCAUGGAGCUGAGCUCAUCGGGCUCAGGAUGGACUCUGGGUUCUAGGACCCUGCAAGGUGGGAGGGUCCCAACCUUGGUCUGCAGCCCAAGCCCGAACGUCUACACUGCAAUUAAACAGCCCCUUAGCCCAAGUCCCCCAAGCCUGAGGCAGCUGGCAUGGGCCAUCUGUGGGUUUCUAAUUGCAGUGUAGACAUACAGCUUCCCAGCUGCUUCUAGGUGCAACCGGGUGAGUGGCUUUAAUCUCUAAAGCCCUAUGUGACUUGGGAGCUUUCCCCUAAGGGUUUGAUCUUGGUCCCGCUGAAGUUAAUGGUUGCACUCCCAUUGCCUUCGUGGGUAUUGGAUUGAGCCCUGAAUGCUUGCCUCUAACUCUGGGCACUUUUGUGCUGGCUGAGAUCAGCUCCUUUUGACACUCCUGAGAACUAAAUGUUGUUCGUGAUGGAGAUUUCCCCUAGAGUGGGGCCAACUUUUGCUGUCGGUCCCCCCAGCUUCUUGGCCUUCAGCCCAUGGUGCAAAGCUUAGCUCUUGAGCCUGGUAUUUGAUUAACUGUAGGCUGGGGGUCUGGAGGAUAUUCCCAUCUUGUGGGUUGGGUGGUUAUUAGUGCUGUCCAGAGUAACCAGAACUGGUUGAUGGUUUGUUUCUGAUAUUAUGUAACAUGCUCUGAGGCCCUGGGAAUGGGUACGUGAUGAACUACAGUAGGGCCUAGGAGUCCAAGGCCCUGGGUGCCGGGUGCUGGACGAACACAGGACAAAAAGACAGUUCCCGUCCUCAAGAGCUGACAAUAGAAAACUACAUUCAAAAUACAAGAAUGAACGAGUAGGACUGGGAACCUCCUCCUAGAGGACGCAAAGUCUUUGGGAUAGAUCAGAGGACCCAGGUUAAGAAUGUGGGUUAUAUUCAUGGUUCUGCCACUAACUUUCUUGGUGACCUUAGACAAGUUGCUUAGUUUCUCAGUGCUUAACUUUCUCUCGCUGUGAAACAUGAAGAAUGAUCAUUAGAGCUGAGUAUUUCGUAAUUAGCAGAGAGGAAGAAUGGUCAGCAUAUUAGCCUUGGAUUUGGAAGACCUGGGUUCAAGUCUCACUUGUACCACAAGCUUCCUGUGUGACCUUGGGCAACCAUAAAGGAUUCCUACAGUAGGAGGGCUUUGGCAGUGGAGGUAGACCAGUAUCCCCUACUGGCAAAACUCUGCUUUUGGCAGUAUAGUUUAUUCCAGCUGGCAAAUGUGCAGCUUAACUGGUUUAGCUGUGUCCAUUCUAGGGGCUUCUGCCGACUUGGCCGUGUUCGUCAGAGAUCACACUUCUUUAUGCCCCUCACUGACAUAGCGAUGCUGGCAGAAGUCUGUAAUGUAGGCAUGGCCUUAGCCUCUCUGGGCCUCAUUUCCCCAUCUGCACAAUGGGAUUAAAAAAACUGCCCUGUCUCAUUGGUGUGUUGUGAGAACAAAUACAUUGAAGAUUGUGAGGUGUACCUUACAUAGAUAAUAAAUAGCUUCUUUUUUUCCCUCUUGCAGAAUAUCUGUGAGCAGAUCUUGAUUUCCUCCAAUUUGUCAUUUGACUAACUCUUUUGCAGAUGUGUUAAACUCUGUGCAUUGAUCACGAGUGGUUCUGGUUACUGAUUAUACAUGGCAGCCUUUUUGCUGUGUUACUCUGCAUAGUGAGUAGCAUUUGUACUAAGUUUAGCCUCUCGCCUGCGUGUGAGGGUCAGCAGAAGAGAGAACGUGAAGGAUGUAGGGCAGCGGUUCUCAAACAGUGCUCUAUGGCCCGCUGGCCAUCUAUACAGACUUUCUUGGUGGCAUGUAGGGAACCACGCACUGUCUGUGGAAGAGCCUUCUCUGAUGGAGUGGUCCACAGAGCUGGAAUGUUGGGAUGAUCUCUGCUGGUGGAGCGUCAGAUUUGGAUGGGGCCCCAAAAGUCUUGGAGACUUUCCUUCAUCAGAGUUUGACACCGUUAGACAUUUCAAAGCCAGACACUGGCAAUAUUUCACCCUCUCCCUUGUGAUGAUAAUGUUAGCCUUAAAUUUGCGUUCAGUGAAAUCUGCCUUUGCUCAGUUCUAAGGGUUGUGCAUUUCUGGAGACUUAUUAUCUGGUUCCAUCCAUUAGAUUCCCUCCAUCUUACUCUGCUCCUAUCUUAACGAGGGAUUAAUGCGUUGUCUGCCUGGUUUCCAAGUCAUAAUGGGAGAGUGGAAAAUGAUUUAUUUCAUGGGGUAGCAAAACUCGGCGUUAAUCUUAGGGAGGCUGUUAUUAAAAUGGUGCAGCAAAGAGAAUCUCUCUAUGCUUCAGAAGUCCAUAAUGGCUGAGGGGCUGAUGAGAUGUAACAAUGGGAAGAAGAGAAGGGUUUAUCAAUAAUAUUCAGAGUAGCUCAGUAACUCAUAAACCUUUUACUAACUUUCCAAACAUGAGGGAUGAAGUCCUAAGAGGUUUUUUUUUUUUGUCCUGGGAAUGUCCCUAUAAAUCAUUUCGUCUCAAAAUUGGGGAAAUAUAGUGUAGGUUCUUUCUCUACAGUGUGGGAAACUGUUGAACAUUUUGUCUUGAGUGUCCAGAUCCCCCUCAACAGAAGAGAUGGGAAGGAAGAGCAUAUUAAAUGGAAGAAUUUACUGUAAAAUCAUUACCUGAGCGCAGGAGUGGGAUAAAGAAGGGUAAAGGACCUGAUCCAGAGCCCACUGAAAUGGGCGGAAAGGCUCCCACGGAGCACAACUGCCUUUGGAUCAGGCUCAAAGUGAGAGGAGACGAUAUGUUGCGGAUCAGCUGAGAGGAAAGGAAACCCGCCUGCUGAGGGUUUAGAUGAGCAAGGCCGUUGGGGGAUUUCCAGGCUUACAACUCCUUGACUGACUUUCAGCCUGUACUGCCUUCCUGAGCUGGACCUGAGCAGCCAGGGCACAAACUGCUGACAGCACGACAACCCUCAGAUCUUUUAACACAGGCUACCGAACAGCUAUCAAAUGCUAACACAUGUUAGUUACUAAUGACCUGAGAGUAAUUGCAGCCAGUGACCUCGUGCAGACUGGCUCUUUAUCCCAUUACCAACCCCCAGGCCCUCUGUGUCCAUCUCAGUAUCUUGCAAUGUAGCUCUGACCAUGCCCAGUAACGAGAGAGGUCAGUUAUACCACGAGGGGGAACCAAGCUCACAACGUUAGGAUAUAUUUCUCUGGGCAGACAUGAAUGUUGUGUUGUCUGGACCGAGCUGUUUGCUUCAGAGGGUGGGUGUAGGGACAGGGUGGCUGGUAACAUGCUGGGGCAGAAAUUUAAUUCAGGGAGAAUGUGAUAAAUUAUUCUCAUGGGGGCAGGUGUUAAAGACAGGGGUGAAAUGAGGGAUGCAGGAGAUGUAAGAGGGGCUAUGGGAGGUAUGAGUAGUGCUUAAAAUGGUCUGAAAAAAAGUGUGUGUGUGCACGUGUGAGGGGGGGGUCUAUCAUCAUCUAGGAACAGCAGCUUUGGCAGGACAGUGCUUAAAGUGGGCCCCUCAAUGACUUAGGUUGAUGUGACCUCCCGUAAGCUCCCCACAUUAAACACUGGGCAUGGUGUGUUUGUUGUCAUGGGUGCCGGCAGGGGUGUGGAACCACAGCUCAGACUCCUGGUCAAUAAGAUGUUUUGCUGUCUAUCUAGAAUAGGGUGACCAGAUGCCUUGAUUUUAUAGGGACUGUCCUGAUUUUUGGGUCUUUUUCUUAUAUAUGCUCCUAUUACCCCCCACCUCAUGUCCCGAUUUUUCACAUUUGCUGUCUGGUCACCCUAAUCUAGAAGCUUUGGCAUCUAUGAAGUACAAUGGCUUCCUAUUGCACGUUUAAAUGGAAGGUAUCUACAAGAUGUAUUGAUCAUGCCCUGAGACUUGCUUGCUGAAGCUGCAGCUGCUAAAUGAAAUAGCUACUGUUCAAAAAGCAUGCGGUAAAGAAGUGGCUAGUAAGGAUAGUUACUAUCCAGGUUAGCUUCUAAACAAAGCUACAUGGUGUGUGCACACACCCGCACGCAAAAUAAGACAGUGAGUAUUCACCUAUUGGUAUGAAUUUGUUUCAGCCACUCUCACAGCCCUGGUGAGUCGUCCCAUUGAAGUCAGUGGGAGGAAGGUACUACUCCACGUGAGCAAGCUUGUGCGAGCUGUCUCUUUGUGUUCACCUUCUAUGAACGUUCACACAAUCAAAUCUUACAGGAGGGAAGAGAGGUUUUAAUUUCACUUUCUGUGAGCAUUCCCAUCAGAAUCAAUCAGGGAACCAAAACAAUACCAUACCACAGUUGUAACUAAGCAACCCAGCUCAACUAGCAAGCAAUACAGAGAAUGAAAUUAAUGAAGAAUUUUGCUGAGUAAUUUCAGAUAAUGCAUUGGUUAGAAAAAGUCUCACUCUGCACGCAGAUAUUUUGCAAAGAGAAGGAGGCAAAACGUGUUGAGUAAAUUCUUUGCUGUGAACUACAUGGAUUAUAACCUGUUUGGGGCCAGGGACCUCCUUUUCCUUGUGUUUGUGCAGCACCUAGCACAAUGGGAGCCCAACCUCAGUUGAAGCCUCUAGUUGCUGCCACAACGCAAAUAAAUAAUGAUUCACACUUAAUAUUAAGGGUGCACUUAUAAAAAGCUCAGGAAAGGCUAACAACUGACCAUGAGCUAUGCUAAGAAUCAGUUGCAGGCCAGAAUAGUACAUGUUAUGUAUGAUUAUACACCAGAGUAGAAGGUGUUAAGAUAGUUACAAGCCAGCUGUUGACCUGAUUAUUAAGAGUUUAUUAAAGCUUCUAUUAAUCAUUUAUUAGCCAUUUUAUGAACUAUUGAUCAAUGUAUCUUAAUAUAAAGCAUGACUAUAAUAGUGAUAACUGUUAACUCAGCUCUAAUACAAAUGCACACUUUAAAAUGGUGGAGAGAGAGAGGCUGGAAGGGACCAUUAGAUCAGCUAGUGUGAGCUCCUGUAUAUCACAGGCCAUUAAACCCUUCUAUUAAACCCAGAGACUUUAGUAAGGCUAUGUCUACACUACAGCUUAUGUUGGCAGAGCUUAUAUCACUCAGAGGUGUGAACACCUCCCCUCCUCCGAGUGAUGUAAGUUACACCGACAUAAGUGCUGGUGUGGACAGUGCUAUGUCAGCAGGAAAGCUUCUCCUGGCAACAUGGCUUCUGCCGCUUGCAGAGGUGGUUUUAUUAUGCUGAUGGGAGACAGCAUCUUCGCUAGAUGUGGUGCAGUGGCGCAGCUGCAGCACUGUAUGUGUAGACAUGCCCUUAGACUAAAGCAUUUCAUACCUCAGGAGACUAAACUGUGACCCACAGGCCAGGGACAGGAGAGACCAAGGUGCCACCAAAGACUGAGGCCCCUGCAAUGGCAGGGAAUUGAUUAGGUGAGACAUGCCCACGUGAUCUCAGCAGGCAAAUCACCCCCCAUGCUGCAGAAAAAGGCAAAAACCUCCAAGGUCCUCACCAAUCUGCCCAGGGGGAAAGUUCCUUCCUGACCACAAAUGGGAUGAUCGCUAUGAGCUUGUGAGGACACACCACCAGCCAGGCUCUGAGAAAGAGGGUUCAGGCACAAGUCACUGGUCUGUCCCAUCUGGUGACCCAUAUCCCAGCUGUGGCCGGUCUCUGAUGCUUCAGGUGGAGGUGAAAAAAAGCCCCAGAAUACAUCUAGCCAAUUGAGAACCAGGGGAAAAAAUUCCUUCCUGUGCUGUGCAGGUGACUGCCUGAAGCAUGAGAUUUGAUUAUAAUUAUUAUCUUGAUGCAGAGCUGCAAGUGAUAUGGGCGCGUGGAGGGCAAUGCGCGCCAGGCUUUCGAUGAGCUCAGUGCUACAGCAUUGAACCAAAACGCAAAGUACGGACGGAUUCUGCAUUCGGCCAGUCUCUGCUACCCGACAUAAGGAUGGAAUGUUCCUGACCCCCCCACCUACAAGUAAACGAAUGAACUUUAUGGGCCAGAUUCAUGGCCACAUGUGGAGAUACACCAGGCAUGGAUUUGGCCUCCUCUGAUCAAUCUGAGUCCCAGGUGCUGUAACUCCCCAUGAGGAAGGGUUGUCAUCUCUAAAUGCCCUCACUUCUCUUGGAAGCAGGGUCUCUCCUAAGCCUUGGGUAUUAACGUACUCCUCCACUGUCAGCCAGCGACAGCAGCGGCAUGUAGUGGCUGCAGUAUCAUUUGUUAAUUUCUUGAUAGCACAAUAUAAUGACUAGCUGCGUUCCCAUAUCACUGACACGGAGCAUUACUGAUUAUGAUGAUUAAUGGGUUUAAUUUACUUAGAAAGAAUGAUGUGCAAUAAUUCUGUUGUCAAAGCUGACAAUCUGGAGUUCCAGUUGGUACCCUGUCAGCACUGUUGUUACCAGCUUUAGAAUACGGGCCGCUGUUGGACUUUUCCAUCCAUUCGCAAAGCUGCCUCACUGCUGGAAGGGCAUCUACAUCUCCUGGGAGCAACUGGGCUUCACUUCCUCCAUUGAAACUAUUGGAUUUUUUUCCUCUUAAUAAUAUUUUUCUUUAAUGGUAUUUUCAUAAAGGUGUCAUUUUAAAACAA